rnacentral:tRNA from 1 species
GCCUGCAUAGCUUAUUGGCAAAAGCGCCAGCAUAGCUGGAGAAUGUGGUUCGAUUCCACAGGCGGGAA